rnacentral:rRNA from 1 species
AUUGAACGCUGGCGGCAGGCCUAACACAUGCAAGUCGAGCGGAGUGGCGGACGGGCGAGUAAUGCCUAGGAAUCUGCCUGGCAUAGGGGGAUAACGUCCGGAAACGGGCGCUAAUACCGCACACUACUUGAUGAGCCUAGGUGGGAUUAGCUAGUUGGUGGGGUAAAGUCGUACCAAGGCAACGAUCCGUAACAGCUCUGAGAGGAUGAUCGGUCACACUGGAACUGAUACACGGUCCAGACUCCUACGGGAGGCAGCAGUGGGGAAUAUUGGACAAUGGGCGAAAGCCUGAUCCAGCCAUGCCGCGUGUGUGAGGAAGGUCUUCGGAUUGUAAAGCCCUUUAAGUUGGGAGGCGUUACCAACAGAGUAAGCACCGGCUAACUUCGUGCCAGCAGCCGCGGUAAUUC